rnacentral:rRNA from 1 species
AUUGAACGCUGGCGGCAGGCCUAACACAUGCAAGUCGAGCGAGCGGCGGACGGGUGAGUAAUGUAUGGGGAUCUGCCUGAUGGAGGGGGAUAACUACUGGAACCGGUAGCUAAUACCGCAUACCAUCAGAUGGGCCCAUUUGGGAUUAGCUGGUGGGUAAGGUAACGGCUUACCUAGGCGCCGAUCCCUAGCUGGUCUGAGAGGAUGAUCAGCCACACUGGAACUGAGACACGGACCAGACUCCUACGGGAGGCAGCAGUGGGGAAUAUUGCACAAUGGGCGCAAGCCUGAUGCAGCCAUGCCGCGUGUAUGAAGAAGGCCUUCGGGUUGUAAAGUACUUUCAGUCGGGAGGCGUUACCGACAGAAGAAGCACCGGCUAACUCCGUGCCAGCUGCCGCGGUAAUAC